rfam:Rattus norvegicus chromosome 12, whole genome shotgun sequence.
GGGGAUUUAGCUCAGUGGUAGAGCGCUUGCCUAGCAAGCACAAGGCCCUGGGUUCGGUCCUCAGCUCCG